UAGUGCAUGAUAGGCGUUAGUUAGUGACAGAACUGACAGUUGAAGUUUGGUUGAAAUGUUCGCGUACCCAUGGCUCCUUGAUCGUGUUUGGCCCUUAUGGUGAGGAAAAACAAAUAACCACUGGAUUAUGGACAAUUAGGUUAGCAAGGGUUCAAAGUGCAAGUUAUAGCAAUGUGAAACCAAACUGUGGUGCCAUCAUUCCUGAAUUCCAAAAGAUUUAGUUUUUGAAGUAGUGAAGAAUCAGUAAUCUCUAAUGUCUGCUAGAUGCAUAAUGUACUUGAAAAGGAGCAUAAGUGUUAAUGUUUACAGAUGUCAUGGCCCGUCCAGUUUCUUGUGUUAAGUGAUUCUUCAACGACCUCAAAUACCUCAUGUCAGUACCCAAGGGUUGCUAAGUAGGUGUAGCAUCUGCAUAAACAUCAGCGCGUUGGAUGACUUGAGAUUAUGGAGUCUGUUUGUGCAGCAGUAGCCACAGGAAUUCAGAGGGAAUGUAUAAUUUGCAGAUCAUCUGAAGAAAUAUCAAGUAAACUAUGAAGCUUUCAAGUAAAUACAUGGCAUUCGAUUAAGAAAAAUGCAGACCUACACAGAAAACUUCGUUCUGAUGUUUUCCAUGAAGUUACAAUUCAAAUCAUCAAUAAGAACGAGUUUACUCACUUGGAUUUCUACCAUUCUCCUUGCCUAAGAAAGUAUAGUGCAGUUAAACGAUCAGCACCUCAUACACAACAUACGGCUCCUGAGUCAUCAACACCAGGAACAAUAAGCUCCCAUCCUGUUACAGAUCAAAAUGGGAUACUCUCAGCUGAUUGCAUCUUUUGUGGCAAACAUAAGAGGAAGUGGAAUAAAUCGAUGGAGGUACUGUCAGAGUGUAAUACUAAAGAAGGCUGCAGAUCAUUAUUGGAAGCUGCUCAAAAAAAUAAUGACCACCGUGUAAUAUCGAUAUUCAUGAAUGGAGGUGACCGUACUGCAAGGAGAGUCAAAUAUCAUAAGUUUUGUCGUUGUAAAUAUAUUAAGGCUUCAGAAAUAUUACCUAAAACAGAGCAAAAAUCAAUCAAACAUAUCCAUGCAGAAACUUUCCGGAUCAUCUGCGACUGUGCAGCACCAUGUGAUUGAUAAAAACGAAGUAAUUCUAUCGACAUCCCUGUUUGAUUUGUAUGCUACAAAAUUCAUGUCCAGGGGUGGUUCUCAAGAAGACAUUGAUCAGUACACUGUUUAUUCAUUGCUGUGUAAAAUUAAAGAGGCCUAUUCGAACGAAAUACGUACAUUAUUACUUAUAGGCGGGUAGGAAAUCUUAUUCAGAGCUCAUCCAUGUCUGAGUCAGAUGCUAGAGCAGCAUUUGCUGAUGAGCACAAGUCAUUCAAGCAGUAUGAUCAAGUACGUGCUGUUCCUAUGUAUUUACGUAGCGUUAUUCUAUCUAUGCCUAAAACCAAAUCUCCUAGUCCAACAUCAGCUCAUACUCUGAAACAGACUUCCCCAAUGCUUCCAGAACCACUAGAGUUCUUUUUUCGACCACUUUAUUGUGGUCCUCUUUCAGAACUAAUCCGGUUCCUAGGGAAAAUAUUGAACGAUGAGUGAUGUCAAGUGCCUCUUGACGCUGUGUUUAUUACAUCAAGAGGUCGAGUGCACCCCUGGAAAAGUACAUGCCUGGGCCUUGGUAUGGGAACAUUGACUGGGUCAAAGACAGUAGUACAGAUGCUUAACAGAAUUGAGCACUCUAUAUCUUAUGAUGAAGUUAAAGCUUUAGAGACUGAAUUUGCGUUCACAGUGUCAGAUGAUAAUUAGGAAACUCCAGAUGGAAUUCUGUGUAAACCCAACCUUGCAACAGCUACUGCUUGGGAUAAUUAUGAUGUGAAUAUCGAAACAUUAGAUGGUAAGAGCACCCUCCAUUCAAUUGUCAGCAUCUGUUAUCAAAACAAAUCCUCAAAAGAUGACACAAAAGAAAUAGAAAUGAUUUGUAGACGAAAGCGAAGACGAUAUGAAGGUUCUGAUCGAGACAUUCCUCCUUUUAGGGCAACCUUGAAAAGUGCCCAUUUUGACAUUUCUGCCCCUCCAAAUGAUGGCCAGUAUGUUUUUGAAGAGAACUUGUUAGGUUUCUACUGGAACUGGCAGUCACUACACAGACAGCUACCUCUUUUCCAAGGAUUUUAUUCCCGAUUUGUUACAGAUGACUUGCCACAACAAACUAUAAGUUAUAUGGAUCCUAUUCCCUUACCUCCGACACGAAAUGAUGUAGUCAGGGAUACAAUGAUAAGAUCUUUGAAUGUAGCAGGAGGUGAACCAAAGCUAUGCUAUUGUAAGUUACGACCUUGCUGUUUUGGCCAUCAAGGCUUACUCAAUUCAAGCAAUUGAAUCACCAGUGUUUGACAGACUGCUGAUUUUACUUGGCAAUUUUCACUUGGAAAUGGCAUUUUUUGGUGCACUUGGUACCUUUAUUCUAUUUUCAGGAGUAGAAUACAUGCUUACUGAAUCUGGCAUCCUUGCUGAAGGAUCCUUGACAGGAUUUAUUAAAGGUAAUUCUAC